UAAACAAUAUUGCAUGAGCCGGCGUGGCUGGCUUGCCUAAAACGAUGUCGCACAACUCUCGGGAGCAAAAACAACAUCGCAUAUGUCUCACCUUGAGGAAAUUCUUGAUGGUUCACAAAAAGGAACAAAAAUGACGUCAAAAUACAAAGAGCCUACAAAUGGACGUGAGCCGACGGAAGAUUAGAUGGGACAAGGAUUUGAG